GGAAGUGUGGCAUAAUGCUACGAGUGUUGGACUAUGACUCCGGAGACCAGGGUUUGAAUCCCUGCUUAGCAA